rnacentral:rRNA from 1 species
UACGGAGGGUGCGAGCGUUGUCCGGAAUCAUUGGGCGUAAAGCGCGCGUAGGCGGCCCGGUAAGUCCGUUGUGAAAGUCAAAGGCUCAACCUUUGAAUGCCGAUGGAUACUGCCGGGCUCGAGUCCGGAAGAGGCGAGUGGAAUUCCUGGUGUAGCGGUGGAAUGCGCAGAUAUCAGGAGGAACACCGGCGGUGUAGACGGCUUGCUAGACCAUAACUGACGCUGAGGCACGAAAGCGUGGGUAGCAAACAGG